GUCCUACGGGGGGCAGCAGUGGGGAAUAUUGGGCAAUGGAGGAAACUCUGACCCAGCAAUGCCGCGUGAAUGAAGAAGGUCUUCGGAUUGUAAAGUUCUUUAGUCAGGGAAGAAGUCAAUGACGGUACCUGAAGAAUAAGCUCCGGCUAACUACGUGCCAGCAGCCGCGGUAAUACGUAGGGAGCAAGCGUUGUUCGGAAUGAUUGGGCGUAAAGGAUGCGUAGGCGGUUGUACAAGCUAGAAGGAAAAUACCCAGGGCUUA
rnacentral:rRNA from 1 species